GACGAAUAGUUAUACAAAACGAGUGCAUUCAGUUGGAAAGCAAUUAAAAGACGAUAAGUUCCAAGCAAUACAGUAUUGUUUAGUGAACUUCAAUAAUGAGUUUCUGUUAUAGGCUAACUUGUUUCGAGAAAGCUGCUAUAGGGGAGGGUAUCUGGUUGAUCUGGAGACUGAUUGUGGGAAAGAGUGAAGCCUUGUCUCUCAGUUGUAAGAAACAAGAACAAUUUGCAAGGCAUUUUGACUUGCAAAGUGGCACCAAAUUGCCAAUCAGGCAGUUAUUUAAAACUAGCUGCUUGCCCGUUAGCUAAAAGGAUAAGGUGUCAACCCUUGAUUGUCCCUACAAAAUGAUAAAACAAAAAGAUUCCUGUAGGCCCCAAUCAAGGUUCAACAUUACUGGACUACUAUUUAUGAUAAUCAGAAAGUGAGCCAACAGCACAACACAUUAAAAUAAUAUAACUCCGAUUCUUUUCAAGUUAUGAAUCACUUGGGAUUGCAAAUUUGAUAUAGUUUAGAUAUUGCAG
rnacentral:misc_RNA from 1 species